CGCCGCUCGCCGGAUGCGGAGACGCUCACCGACGCGCCGCCGAAUCAAUGCUCCGCCUCUCCAUCCAUUUCUGCACUGCGUCUGGAUCGCCUUACUCACUUUGGAGCUCGGCAUGCUCGCACUUGAGAUCGUCCAGGUUGUGCAGGAAGUUGCACGAACCUCUCGGCAGAUGCACCGCACCGGAACCGCCGGGGAUCUCCCAUUCCGAACGCAGGCAGUGGCGGCGGCCAUUCACUCCACCGCCACGUUCGCGCCGGCGAUCUCCACCUGAAAGUGCAGAGCUCCUCAAACACAGCUAGCUGAGUCUGUUGAAGCAUAUGAGCGUGUGAAGAUGUUUCUGAAUGUACAAGCUGAAAGGAAGGAAUCAUCGAGUGAUCACAAGGAAUGCAUGAGGUAUGAUUCGGUGCUGCCACAAACGACGCCACUUGAUUCUAGAGAAUUGUAAAAGAUUCUAGAUCAUGUGCAUGUCCAAGGCCGAGGUGCACCGAAGAAAGGACUGAAGCCAAAGAAGCGGAAAAGAUCGAACUCGAAAUGUGGCUACUGCGGUGGAGGGUCACAAUCGGCUAAAUGGACCAAGUGGGUAGAGGUUGUAAAUUAGACAAAAGGCUAUUUUGUGCAUGUGGUUGAUUUGUGAAUAUAGUGAGUGGAAUUAAUUGUCUUUGUGUUAUGCAGGGCAACAAUCUGGUAAAACCUUGUUAGCUGUCUACACUUUGAGCUUUGUCUUAGGCGAUGGUGAUCUUUCGAUCCAAUAAGAGAGGCUAAUACCGGAGUCUACAAAUGCUUCUUGGCAAUGUUUUCAAGAAGUUUUAUACUACAGUGUGUCUGCUCUUAGCAAUGUUUUAUCACAUUUUCUACAGCCUGCACAAGUAUUCUGUAGCUCGGGGGUUCUGGGAAGAAUGCUAAGGAUCAUGCUGGAACACGGGAAUGAUCCGUUUGCAUUGCAAAGGAUGGCACAAAAUGUGCUGAUACCAAUUUCCUUUUCUUACAUGACCAUGUAAUCUGCAAGGCUUGCCUGGAGGACUGCCCUGGAGCAGUGUCAUGCCAUAAUUUUAGUUUACACAUGCUCAGAGUUUUACAAUGAAUAUGUUUUCAUUUAGUACCAUUCUCUGUAGCAUGUAUGUGAGUUCCCUAACUUCUUAAUUCCCCUGGAUCCUGGGCUGUCGCUGCAUUCUGCUGCUAGUGUUGGUUUCAGAAUCCUGAACAACCUGGCUGUCUUGCUGCUGGUGGAUGCUAGUGAUUGUUUGAAGGACAAGCAGACGACAACUAAGGAUAAUUAUUUAUUUCAGAGUUGAAAGGAAAAACCUGCUUGUAAGAGCUAUAUUGUGU